rnacentral:rRNA from 1 species
UACGAAGGGGGCUAGCGUUGUUCGGAAUCACUGGGCGUAAAGCGCACGUAGGCGGAUCUUUAAGUCAGGGGUGAAAUCCCGAGGCUCAACCUCGGAACUGCCUUUGAUACUGGGGAUCUCGAGUCCGGGAGAGGUGAGUGGAACUGGCGAGUGUAGAGGUGAAAUUCGUAGAUAUUCGCAAGAACACCAGUGGCGAAGGCGGACUCACUGGCCCGGUACUGACGCUGAGGUGCGAAAGCGUGGGG